GGGUACAUUUGAUUUUCUAUAUAAGGAGAUCACUUUUCAUUAUUAUUUUUAACCUUUCUCCAGGUUUGAAGAUGUAGGAGCGUCAAUGUUUGUAUCUAAAUAGAUUUGAAAGUGAUUACUGCAAAGCCAAGCAGCUGAAACCACCUCAGUACUGACACAGCCCAUCAUUACACCCUUCCAGCAUGGGGGGCUCAGCUUUCAAAGGACUGCUGGGAUUUAGCCCCAGUUUCCAUUAACACCAGUGACCCACCCAGCACCACUUUGGGAGUUACCUGGGGCAGUUUUCUUCUCUGGCUACACAGGGGUUUUACCCCCAGCUCCCCUCAAGGCUGCACUUAGCUGGAGCUCACCACCACCUCCCAGCGUGGAUCUUACUGCAUCCCUGCCACCUCUACACACAGCUAAGAGCACACCUGGCAGCUCUGACAGAACACUCAAACGUGGCUCCUGCCGGUCAGCUCGGAGGAUUUGGGAGGCUGAAGGAGGGAAAUUGCUGCACCGGGAGUUGAGGGGGCACACCCAGACACGCACACACUCGGAGAGCACAGCUCACACUGAAAAUCAGCCUCUUACUGCAGCAAUUCUUGUAAGCAGGACCACAAGUAAAAACCACCCCAGACCCCUCCUUGCCCUGCAGGGAUUCUACCAAUACUUGUGAAAAUAACAAUAACAAUAACAAUAACAAUAACAAUAACAAUAACAAUAACAAUAACACAACUACAAGAACCCUCCAGCCUGCUGAGCUGGCUGCCAGCUGCAGGUGCCACGCUGCUGGCCCUGUAUCUGACAGAAGUUGCACCUCUGUCCCAUCAUGGCCCUGAUUUUGACUAUUUCAAGUGCAUUUGUGCCAUAACAAGUAACCAUAGUGGCUCUGGCAAUUCAUACCUUGGCACCAGAGCUUAUUUUUGAUGUAUCACAAGGCAGCAACUAAACCUCUAGCUGGGGAAAGGUGAGAGGAAAACAGGAAGAUGGAUGGUCCUUUCUAUUCUUCAGUUUACACUUUUCUCACAUUUAGAGGAAUAGUUUCAAGUUGCUUUUUGAUACAUUAUUAUGUCUUGCAUCAAACAAAUAAAGAAUAAAAAGAAAGGAAAAUGCUUAGAGAA
rnacentral:lncRNA from 1 species